GAAUUCAUCUCCGGGGGUAGAGCACUGUUUCGGCAAGGGGGUCAUCCCGACUUACCAACNGAUGCAAACUGCGAAUACCGGAGAAUGUUAUCACGGGAGACACACGGCGGGUGCUAACGUCCGUCGUGAAGAGGGAAACAACCCAGACCGCCAGCUAAGGUCCCAAAGUCAUGGUUAAGUGGGAAACGAUGUGGGAAGNCCCAGACAGCCAGGAUGUUGGCUUAGAAGCAGCCAUCAUUUAAAGAAAGCGUAAUAGCUCACUGGUCGAGUCGGCCUGCGCGGAAGAUGUAACGGGGCUAAACCAUGCACCGAAGCUGCGGCAGCGACACUAUGUGUUGUUGGGUAGGGGAGCGUUCUGUAAGCCUGUGAAGGUGUACUGUGAGGUAUGCUGGAGGUAUCAGAAGUGCGAAUGCUGACAUAAGUAACGAUAAAGCGGGUGAAAAGCCCGCUCGCCGGAAGACCAAGGGUUCCUGUCCAACGUUAAUCGGGGCAGGGUGAGUCGACCCCUAAGGCGAGGCCGAAAGGCGUAGUCGAUGGGAAACAGGUUAAUAUUCCUGUACUUGGUGUUACUGCGAAGGGGGGACGGAGAAGGCUAUGUUGGCCGGGCGACGGUUGUCCCGGUUUAAGCGUGUAGGCUGAUUUUCCAGGUAAAUCCGGAAAAUCAAGGCUGAGGCGUGAUGACGAGGCACUACGGUGCUGAAGCAACAAAUGCCCUGCUUCCAGGAAAAGCCUCUAAGCAUCAGGUAACAUCAAAUCGUACCCCAAACCGACACAGGUGGUCAGGUAGAGAAUACCAAGGCGCUUGAGAGAACUCGGGUGAAGGAACUAGGCAAAAUGGUGCCGUAACUUCGGGAGAAGGCACGCUGAUAUGUAGGUGAAGUCCCUUGCGGAUGGAGCUGAAAUCAGUCGAAGAUACCAGCUGGCUGCAACUGUUUAUUAAAAACACAGCACUGUGCAAACACGAAAGUGGACGUAUACGGUGUGACGCCUGCCCGGUGCCGGAAGGUUAAUUGAUGGGGUUAGCGGUAACGCGAAGCUCUUGAUCGAAGCCCCGGUAAACGGCGGCCGUAAC
rnacentral:rRNA from 1 species